AAUAGCUCACUGGUCGAGUCGGCCUGCGCGGAAGAUGUAACGGGGCUAAACCAUGCACCGAAGCUGCGGCAGCGACGCUUAUGCGUAGUUGGGUAGGGGAGCGUUCUGUAAGCCUGUGAAGGUGUGCUGUGAGGCAUGCUGGAGGUAUCAGAAGUGCGAAUGCUGACAUAAGUAACGAUAAAGCGGGUGAAAAGCCCGCUCGCCGGAAGACCAAGGGUUCCUGUCCAACGUUAAUCGGGGCAGGGUGAGUCGACCCCUAAGGCGAGGCCGAAAGGCGUAGUCGAUGGGAAACAGGUUAAUAUUCCUGUACUUGGUGUUACUGCGAAGGGGGGACGGAGAAGGCUAUGUUGGCCGGGCGACGGUUGUCCCGGUUUAAGCGUGUAGGCUGGUUUUCCAGGCAAAUCCGGAAAAUCAAGGCUGAGGCGUGAUGACGAGGCACUACGGUGCUGAAGCAACAAAUGCCCUGCUUCCAGGAAAAGCCUCUAAGCAUCAGGUAACAUCAAAUCGUACCCCAAACCGACACAGGUGGUCAGGUAGAGAAUACCAAGGCGCUUGAGAGAACUCGGGUGAAGGAACUAGGCAAAAUGGUGCCGUAACUUCGGGAGAAGGCACGCUGAUAUGUAGGUGAAGCGACUUGCUCGUGGAGCUGAAAUCAGUCGAAGAUACCAGCUGGCUGCAACUGUUUAUUAAAAACACAGCACUGUGCAAACACGAAAGUGGACGUAUACGGUGUGACGCCUGCCCGGUGC
rnacentral:rRNA from 1 species